rnacentral:lncRNA from 1 species
GUUCAGCAAAGUAAGAUCUACAAAUAAGGCCAAUUAAAAUUAAUUGAUAGAUUUUCAUCCCCGCCCGCCCCUCUGAAAUCGUCCCGCCCCGAAUUUUUUUUUUAUUUUAUAAAAUUUACGAUUUCCGGAUUUCGUUCAUUCCCGUUACCGGUAACCGUUAAAAUUUCGUUUCAUCCUCAAAGCUUCCUGUUUCAAAUUUCGGGUUUGUACCUCAAGUAAAUCUAACAAAAAUGAUUAAGUCGACCUUUCCGCUGCUCUAUGAUGACAACAUCAUCUUCCGAGAGUAAAGAUUGAUAACGAGAAUGACGUGAAAACACGCUGUUUCCAAGACUGCAAAUCGCGUUAUGUCACAAGUUUCUGUGAUUAGAAAACUGCAGACUGUUUUAUUUAUGCAAUGACUGUCUUAGGAAAUUUAAACUGUAAAUGAUACCCAAAGCGCAAUAUUCGUGGAAACCAUUGAUACAGAAAACAUGACUGGAUUAUAGAUAUUGAAAUACAAGCACGAACUUGUCAGAUUUAUGACCGUUUAUUGAAAUUAAAAAGUCGACUAACAUAUGCAUUUUAUUUAUGCAAGCCCUUUGAUUUUUCCCAUGGCUGUCUUUUUAUGUUGACAAACAGCAAAAGUCCCAUUACACCCAAAAAGAGUCAUUAAACAACAACUUUUUUUUAUUAUUAAGUUCAUGUUUUACAUGAUAAUUAUAUUUUCAUCUUGCAUAUAAAGUACCAACCCUAUUAUUUUCAACACUCUCUGAGUUUUCAUUUUAUUCUGUACUCAUAAUAAUUGUGUUGCAUACCAAUGCAUUUGCUUCAUUUUAUGGGAAUACAAACCAUUGUUUAGAAACCCAAAUACAUUUGGUGUAGGUAGUCUAACUGAAGAGAGUAUUUCUCACACGUUUUUGUUGUUAAGUUUUUAAAGCCGCAAUUAGAUAUAUUUAUUUAAGUAUUUGAAAAAUUAUGUAAGAUUCCUCAUACUUGUGUAUAUAAAAAAGAAGAUGUGGUAUGAUUGCCAAUGAGACAACUAUCCACAAAAGACCAAAAUGACACAAACAUUAACAACUAUAGGUCACUGUAUGGCCUUAACAAUACAUGAUAUAAGCUUAUUAUUACACUUGCAUAUAUGAAGAACUCGUCACAAAACAUGCAAAAGGGUUUCAUAUGAAAUAAAAUUUAAAAAAUAAAAUCCUCCCACCCGCCCCAUUUUUUCAAAAAUUUGGAUGAAAAUCUACUAAUUAAUUUUAGUUGGCCUAAGGUAAUAUGACUAAAAUGGUCAGUUGACCCCUUAAGGAGUAAUUGACCUUUAUAUUCAUUUUUAACCAAAACUACUGGUCCAAAUUUAACCAUACUUAGCCAUAAUUAUCAUUGAGGUAUCUAGUUUAAAAAAUGUGUGCGGUGACCCUGCCAACCAACCAAGAUGGCCACCAUGGCUAAAAAUAGAACAUAGAGGUAAAAUGUAGAUUUUGGCUUAUAACUCUGAAACCAAAGCAUAAAGAGCAAUUCAGACAUGGGGGUUAAAUUGUUUUGCAAGU